rnacentral:rRNA from 1 species
UAAUUGAUGCAAUAUCGACUAUGUCGAAUAAAAUUCUAGGUAGAAUUAUGAUAAUGACAUUGUCUGCCUAUGUGUCUUGACCAAAUUACGUGCCAGCAGUCGCGGUAAUACGUAGAAGACUAGUGUUAUUCAUCUUUAAUAGGUUUAAAGGGUACCUAGACGGUAAAUCAAGCCUGAAAUAUGGGACUAAUAUACUAGAGUUACUUACGAGGGGGUAUUAAAGUACUGCUGGUGUAGAGAUGAAAUUCUGUCAUACCUCGUUUCACAGGAAACACUACGGCACAGGUAUAGGCGAAAGCAUCUCCUUAUGUGAUAACUGACGUUGAAGGACGAAGGCUUUGUGUAGCGAACAGGAUUAGAUACCCCAGUAGUCAAAGCAGAAAAUGAUGAAUGUCAUAGAUUAGAUAUAUAGUUUAUUCUAUAAAUGAAAGUGUAAGCAUUCCACCUCAAGAGUAAUUUGGCAACAUUGGAACUGAAAUCAUUAGACCGUUUCUGAAACCAGUAGUGAAGUAUGUUGUUUAAUUUGAUAAUCCGCAAAAAACCUUACCACAAUUUGAAUAUUUUAAUUUUUAUUUUCUUUAUCUGAUUUUGUAUUGCCUUGCUUGAUUUUUUACUAAAAAAAGUUAUGUAAAAGAAAAAUAAUAAGAAGAAAAUAAAAAUUAAUUUACAAGCGUUGCACGGCUGUCUUCAGUUAAUGUCGUGAGAUUCUGGUUAGUUCCAUUAAUUAACGUAAACCCUUACUUUAUUUUUAUAUAGAGUAGUUCCCCRCUAGAU